rnacentral:lncRNA from 1 species
AAAUUCAAGUCUUACGUAGGCAAGUAGAGGACCUUAAAUAUGAGGGUUAUCAACUUAGGAAAGGACAAAAACCCCAUAAGGCCCAACUAGGAGCUAAAAUAAAAGACUUUAGAAGAAUUCAAUCAGAAUACAGUGAAAAUUGUGAACUUUAUGACUAUAUUAAGAGACAAUUUGAUGCUGUAACCAAAGAACUUGAUGCUUUGAAAAUUAAGAGUGAGAAAAUAGAUGUUUGUUUCAAAAAUUAUACUGCGUCAAGUAAGACAGUCGAGUCCUUAUAUGAAACCCAAUUAAAAUUCAAAGAAAAACAAAACAAGGGUCUAGGGUAUGAUAGUGUUCCUCCACCUUUCAAUCAUAAUUACACAUCCAUCUCUAUGACACAGGACGAAAUUGACAGGGAGCCACAUAUUCGAUAUGGCAAACCAGCUGGUUUUGUUUCAAGAGGUUUUAUUAACAUUGAAAGUACUAAUGUUUCUAUUUCCACUACAGAUCAACCAUUAGAUCAAGCAAAGAGUGAAGCUGGAGAAUCUGUUUCUGUUAUUAAAUCUGAUUUUUCUGUUAUGAACAAUUUUCAUUGUGUUUCUGAUGUUAAGACUGAAAAUGUUUCUUGUGUUGGCUCAUCAUCUGAUACAGAUGAAUUUAAUUUUUUCGAUAUGUUUGAUGAAUUGUUUGGUAAUUCUGAUGCUUGUGAUUCUAAUGAAGAUUCAUCAACUCCAUAAGUCAAAACGACUGAGGCACCUUCAUUUAUCUCACAAUCUAUUUCUCAUGCAUGUUCUUCUGAGAAGAGUAAGAGUGUUUGUAAAGAAAAUAAAUCUGAAAAAUGUAAUACAAGUUCAAAUAAUAAACAGAUUUGUUUUAAUUAUGGUGUUGGUGGUCAUAUAUCUUGGAAUUGUCAAAAUAGGAUCUUUGUGAAUUACUUGUCACCAAGAGGAGAGAAUGAAUCCCGGGGAAGGUCUUUAAUUAGAAAUUCCUCAAGAUCUCGCUCUCAAAAUGAUGAUUGGAAAGGUGAUAGAGGCAGAAAAAGGACUGUUUUACAAAAGAAAAAAAAGGUUUUACUAACAAAACUCACAAUAGUUUGCCAAAACCGAACAAGGCUACGCCAAGAUCGGUCUCAUCAAAGGGCAGCUCUGGAUCUUCAACCUCCUCUGGUGGAAAAUCCAGAGGCUCAAGGAAAACCUUUAAGAAACAAAUUCCAAAACUAACUGAUAAUUUUGUAAAACCUAAAUAUCUAUGGAAGCCCAAAUCCCUUUCUAAUUUAUCAUUGAAAUCCUCUGAAGAAAGCAUGAACGAAGAUCCAAAUUUGAAAAUUCUGAAAAAUGAUUCAAAGAAACCAAAAGGGAAGCCAAUGAUAGUGAUGACCUGGGUUCCUAAGUCUAAAUGAUUCCGCUCAUUUUGCAGGGACAGUUGUGGAGGAAUGUCGUUCGUCCUUGGUACGUUGACAGCGGCUGCUCCCGGCAUAUGAUUGGAGACAUCUCCCAACUAAGCGAAAUUCAAUCUUUUAAUGGGGGUUAUGUUUCCUUUGCAGGCGGAGAUGGUGGAAAGAUCACACAGCGCAAAACUAUUACGAAUGGAGUGCCGAGCUUCGAAAAUAUCAACUACGCUCCCGAGUUAAAGCAUAGCUUGUUGAGCGUUUCCCAAAUAUGCGACAAAGGCUACUCUACCCAUUUUACUAAUAAAGAGUGUAUGAUUCUCAAGCCAGGCAUUGUCAUCCCAGAAGAAUGGAUUCUAGUCAAAUCUAAACGGGAUGGGAAUGCUUAAAUUAUUGAUAUGAACUGUAACCUACCUGAACAAGUUACUUGUCUAUUCUCAAAGGUCUCCGAACACAACGCAAUGCUGUGGCAUCGAAGACUCGGUCAUGCUAACGCGAAAAACCUGAAUCGUCUUACGAAAAAUGAGAUGGUCUGAGGCCUCCCUAUCAGAGACUUUAUCACAUUUGAAAAGUGUGUUUCCUGUGCUCAAGGCAAACAUCAUCGGAAACCACAUCUGCGCAAGCAAAUCAACUCAAUCAGUCAAGUGCUCCAACUAUUGCAUAUGGACUUAUUUGGUCCGGUCAAUGUCUUGAGCAUCAACAGAAGCUCGUACUGUCUAGUUGUGAUUGAUGAUUUCUCUCGGUUUACGUGGGACUUCUUCUUAUCCAACAAAGCGGCGGUUGUUGAUCUGAUAAAGAAGUUCAUUGUGAUGAUUGAGAAGCAAACCAAUAAACAAGUGAAGGCACUUCGUACCGAAAAUGGAACUGAGUUCAAGAAUGCUGCUCUUGACCAUUUUUGCGUAGAAAAAGGAAUAGUGCGUCAAUAUAGCUCUGCUCACACGCCUCAACAAAAUGGUGUUGCUGAAAGGAGAAAUAGAACAUUGAAAGACGCCGCAAGGACAAUGCUUUGUGACUCCAAACUACCNAACUAGGAGCUAAAAUAAAAGACUUUAGAAGAAUUCAAUCAGAAUACAGUGAAAAUUGUGAACUUUAUGACUAUAUUAAGAGACAAUUUGAUGCUGUAACCAAAGAACUUGAUGCUUUGAAAAUUAAGAGUGAGAAAAUAGAUGUUUGUUUCAAACAUUAUACUGCGUCAAGUAAGACAGUCGAGUCCUUAUAUGAAACCCAAUUAAAAUUCAAAGAAAAACAAAACAAGGGUCUAGGGUAUGAUAGUGUUCCUCCACCUUUCAAUCAUAAUUACACAUCCAUCUCUAUGACACAGGACGAAAUUGACAGGGAGCCACAUAUUCGAUAUGGCAAACCAGCUGGUUUUGUUUCAAGAGGUUUUAUUAACAUUGA